GUGGACAACCACCUUUUAGUAAUUGGACUCAAAGCAUAUCGACCGAGAGAAAAGCCCAAGUUUACUAAUCGAAUGAAGACACAUCAAAAUAAUUGAAAGGAGCAUGAGGCCUGAAAAAAAAAAAGAUCGGGGCAAGGUGGUAUUUCCUGAGUCCACAAUUGCAGUCUUAGAUGACAGAGUCCAGCCAGUUUUAAGAAAGCUAGUAGAAAAGUUUAAACCUGACUGCUUAGACAAGAUUGUGAAAAAAGAUUGUGACAAAGAUCAUAGUCAAGGAAACCAUAUCUGUGUAUACGACAUUUAAUAUUCCGGAUUGUACGUUAUAUACGUUAUGAAAACUCCGCAUACGACAUUUUUAUUCCGGAUUGUACGUAUGAACAUAUUGCUUUCUCUUUGUAAGAUAACUUUAAAUCCAGGAAUAGAUUGUAUUAUUUAUACCA